rnacentral:lncRNA from 1 species
UGGAUGCUAACUUUGUCAAACAAACACGUCAAGCAAACUGGAAUCAAAUUCAAACAGAUCGAUGUGUCAUGACCCUCAUUAUAGAACCGAACAAAGUCAGAUUUUCACAGAGGAGUAAAAGAUCUUCCAUCCUGUCUGAUGACAGGCAGUUUGUGGGGCCCGACUCUCGUCAGGAUCAAACCUCAAGCCUGGAGGAGAGCAGCAGUGGGUCCGGCCCCUGGCAGACUGCUAGUCUAGCUGAGUCCUGGGCAUCCAUUAGCGACAUGGAGCCAGAGCUUGGAAGUGAGAUUGUCCUAGUUCAAGAGGACCACAGUGAAAACCACUUCUCCGCCUCUGACAACAUCAUCCACCUAGAGGUGGAGCUCCAUCAGAGGGCGGAGUCAGAAGAGGAGGAGGAGCUUCAGAGCAGCGUGCUGAGCAUGAUUGGCAGUGAGAAGGAGCUGGAAGAGAUUGGAGAACGUCCUGCAGACUCAGAUCUCAAGCCUCCAGAGACUGUGGAGCUCCUGAUGUGUGUGGUGGAGGAAAUUGAGGCAGAGAUGGAUUCAGAGCCAGUUUUCACUCACACUCCUCUUCUGUCUGAGCCUUUAGAUUUUACGCUGGCUUCGGUUCCCAUACCUGAAAUCAUCUCACAGGUUUUAGAUAAUCUCCCACCCUCCACACUCACACACUCAGAGGAACCUCAUGCCUCUCAAUCAGGCUCUAUUAAUGCACCUAGUGUGUCAGCGUCAUCUUCAGAAGAGGUUGUUCCAAAGGCAGACCCGCUUUCAGCCGCACCCUUUGAACUCCCUGUACUGCUGGUUAGUGGCGCCGCCCUGGUGGCGGUAAUGGCAAUACUUACAUUUAACUUGAUUAGAAAGUAGCUGUAGAUCUUUUGAAUAGUUUCAAAAUUGUAGAACAAUUCAACAAAUUGUAUUACUGAUUAUGUGAUAUAAAAAAUUAGAAGGUUAUUAAAUAUUGUCGCUUGUCUUAUUUUGUAUUUUUACACACAUACACACAGACUAAACACAAUCUGAGACUCUGGAUCAUCUUUAACCCCAAAAAUCAAAAGAAAAAAUACA